rnacentral:rRNA from 1 species
CCUACGGGUGGCAGCAGUGAGGAAUAUUGGUCAAUGGACGAAAGUCUGAACCAGCCAAGUAGCGUGCAGGAUGACUGCCCUAUGAGUUGUAAACUUCUUUUAUAAGAGAAUAAACCGAGAUACGUGUACCUGUUUGCAAGUACCUUAUGAAUAAGGAUCGGCUAACUCCGUGCCAGCAGCCGCGGUAAUACGGAGGAUCCGAGCGUUAUCCGGAUUUAUUGGGUUUAAAGGGUGCGUAGGCGGGUGGAUAAGUCAGUUGUGAAAGCCUGAGGCUCAACCGUGGAAUUGCAUCUGAUACUGGCCGGCUAGAGAGCAGUUGCGGUAGGCGGAAUGCGUGGUGUAGCGGUGAAAUGCUUAGAGAUCACAAAGAACCCCGAUUGCGAAGGCAGCUUACUAAGCUGUUACUGACGUUGAGGCACGAAAGUGUGGGGAGCAAACAGGAUUAGAUACCCUUGUAGUC